CUAGUCAUCCGAGACCGCAUUCUACAACCGAUGAGGAACUAUAGGUGUAGUUGUCUAUGAAUACAAGUCACAGGACACAUGCUUAUUUUGUCUUCAUCAGAUGCACUGGUGCUGCAGAAACAAAUCUGAGGGAUGGCCGUGGGAGCCGAAAUGGUACGUCGUGAGGAGGAGGAGACAGACAUGUCGUUGUGGCGCUCUCAAGAUAAUGUCAUUCGACAUCAAGAACAAGUGAUGAAGCACGCGACUUGGAACUAAACCGGAGGAAAAGGAUGCAUGAAUCUUUAUGAUGAGUUAUGGACAGCCAUUGUUUGCAUUCUCCUUUUUUCUUCUCCUCUCAUUUUUGGUUGCAAAUGCCAUAGAUGUCACCUUUAUUUCAUUUUAGUCCAAAAAGUUUUAAGUUGAUAUAUUGUGAUACAUUCCUUCAUCAGGCGUUUGAUGGCAUAUCAUUUUUUUAUCUA